CCUACGGGAGGCAGCAGUGAGGAAUAUUGGUCAAUGGACGAGAGUCUGAACCAGCCAAGUAGCGUGAAGGAUGACUGCCCUAUGGGUUGUAAACUUCUUUUAUAUGGGAAUAAAAUGUUCCACGUGUGGGAUUUUGUAUGUACCAUAUGAAUAAGGAUCGGCUAACUCCGUGCCAGCAGCCGCGGUAAUACGGAGGAUCCGAGCGUUAUCCGGAUUUAUUGGGUUUAAAGGGAGCGUAGGUGGAUUGUUAAGUCAGUUGCGAAAGUUUGCGGCUCAACCGUAAAAUUGCAGUUGAAACUGGCAGUCUUGAGUACAGUAGAGGUGGGCGGAAUUCGUGGUGUAGCGGUGAAAUGCUUAGAUAUCACGAAGAACUCCGAUUGCGAAGGCAGCUCACUGGACUGCAACUGACACUGAGGCUCGAAAGUGUGGGUAUCAAACAGGAUUAGAUACCCCUGUAGUC
rnacentral:rRNA from 1 species